UUCAAAUCCAAGGAACUAUUUUCUAUGAGGAAUUACAUGUAAUUUGAGUUUUAAGACUACACAGUGUCAUUGAACAAUGGAACAUUCUCUAGAAUAAUUUUCUUUAAUCCUGCAAAUGUUCACCUUUUCAGAAGUAGGUUGUUUUUUAUUUUGUUUUAUAUGGAUUUUACUUGUGUUGCAGGUGUUUCUUCAAGCCACAUCAACUUUAGUUGUGAAAUUAAAAUGCCAACUCCAUAGCUGACCCUUUCUAGGACACAGUUGCUGGCAAUGUCUGUGUUCACCUCUACUGUUCAGGCUGGGCAAAGGGCAUAGAUGUGGACGUCGGCUGGAAGGGACCACAUCUAGACACAGAGCUUGUUGACUGGUGAUCCCAGACUCCCUCUAGGAACCUCUGACUUAAGUAAGCAAGGACACCAAAUAUGUACAUGCACAGCAAGGCCCCUCAGCCAUAGCAGCAGCGCUUCCUGGAACAGACUACAAGUGGCA